rnacentral:rRNA from 1 species
CAGCAGCCACGGGAAUACGUAGGUGGCAAGCGUUGUCCGGAAUUAUUGGGCGUAAAGGGCUCGCAGGCGGUUUCUUAAGUCUGAUGUGAAAGCCCCCGGCUCAACCGGGGAGGGUCAUUGGAAACUGGGAAACUUGAGUGCAGAAGAGGAGAGUGGAAUUCCACGUGUAGCGGUGAAAUGCGUAGAGAUGUGGAGGAACACCAGUGGCGAAGGCGACUCUCUGGUCUGUAACUGACGCCGAGGAGCGAAAGCGUGGGGAGCGAACAGGAUUAGAUACCCCGGUAGUCCCUGUCUCUUAUAC